AUUUGAUGGUGAGGGCAACUUGCAUAGAGUUUCUUGAAUCUCUCCCAAUACUCAUAUAAGGUCUCCCCAUUUUAUUGCCGAAUCCCACAAAUUUGCUUCCUAAU